AACGAACGCUGGCGGCAUGCCUAACACAUGCAAGUCGAACGAAACCUUCGUGUCUGGUUGCGCACGGGUGAGUAACGCGUGGGAACCUUCCCUUAGGUUCGGAUUACCUCCCCGAAAGGGGUGCUAAUAACUGGUAAUCUCUUGCUACCAACGAUUUAUCGCUGUUGGCUGGGACCGCGUUGGAUUAGCUAGUUGGUAGGGUAAACGCCUACCAAGGCGACGAUCGAUAGCUGGUCUGAGAGGAUGAUCAGCCACACUGGGACUGAGACACGAGCCAGAAUCCUACGGGAGGGAGCAGUGGGGAAAAGUGGAAAAGGGGCGAAAGCCUGAUCCAGCAAUGCCGCGUGAGUGAUGAAGGCCUGAGGGUUGUAAAGCUCUGUUACACGGGAAGAUAAUGACAGUACCGGGAGAAUAAGCCCAGGCUAAAUCAGUG
rnacentral:rRNA from 1 species